rnacentral:rRNA from 1 species
GAUGAACGCUAGCGGCAGGCCUAACACAUGCAAGUCGAGGGGUAGAAGCAGCUUGCUGCUUUGAGACCGGCGCACGGGUGCGUAACGCGUAUGCAAUCUACCUUUUACUAAGGAAUAGCCCAGAGAAAUUUGGAUUAAUGCCCUAUGGUAUAUUUGAGUGGCAUCAUUUAAAUAUUAAAGAUUUAUCGGUAAAAGGUGAGCAUGCUUCCCAUUAUUUAGUUGGUAAGGUAACGGCUUACCAAGACGAUGAUGGGUAGGGGUCCUGAGAGGGAGAUCCCCCAAACUGGUACUGAGACACGGACCAGACUCCUACGGGAGGCAGCAGUGAGGAAUAUUAGUCAAUAGAGGCAACUCUGAACCAGCCAUGCCGCGUGCAGGAUGACGGUCCUAUGGAUUGUAAACUGCUUUUGUACAGGAAGAAAAAGAGUUGCGUGUAGCUUAUUGACGGUACUGUAAGAAUAAGGAUCGGCUAACUCCGUGCCAGCAGCCGCCGUAA